CUCAUGUCACAAGGAUCUGUAAACAAUUCCUGGAAGCUGAAAAUGUCCCAGUUCUUCCAUGGUCUGCAUACUUACCAAGCAUGUCACCCAUUGAGUGUGUUUGGGAGGCUCUGGAUCGACGUGUACAACAGCGUGAUCCAGUUCUCACCAAUAUCCAGCAACUUCGUACAGCCAUUGAAGAGGAGUGGGACAACAUUCCACAGGCCACAAUUUACAGCCUGAUCAACUCUAUAUGAAAGAGAUGUGUCACGUUGCAUUAGGCAAAUGGUGAACUCACCAGAUACUGACUGGUUUUCUGAUCCACACCCCUACUUUUUUGUUAAGGUAUCUCUGACCAACAGAUGCAUAUCUGUAUUCCCAGUCAUGUGAAAUCCAUAGAUUAGGGUCUAAUUUAUUUAUUUAAAUUGACUGAUUUUAUUAUGAACUGUAAAUCAGUAAAAUCAUUGAAAUUGUUGCGUUUAUAUUUUUGUUCAGUACAGUAGGCUAAUUCCCCAGCCAAGCAGAUACAACUGGUAGUCGUUUUUGUUGUGAAGUGCAUUAGCAAAAAGCUUGGUCCUUUCUUUAGAACAAAAUGCAAUUUACCACUUGACUGUAUUAUAUCACCCUGUCACAGGCCCUCCCAGUCAACACCACCUUGUAAGAUGGCCUGCUGCAGUUGUUCCGUUUGCAGCCGAACAUGCAUCAUAGAGAAGACCAGCAAGAGAGCCCUCAUCAGCGUCAUUCAGACAUGCCCUCGCUAUGGAGAGGACUGUAUAUAUUUUUGCAGAUGCCAGUCUUGGUUGUUUGAUAGGGAGACCAUAAUUGGAAACACAUAUAGAGCCAGCAUGUGGAGAC